rnacentral:rRNA from 1 species
UACGAAGGGGGCUAGCGUUGCUCGGAAUUACUGGGCGUAAAGCGUGCGUAGACGGUUAUUUAAGUCGGAUGUGAAAGCCCCGGGCUCAACCUGGGAAUUGCAUUCGAGACUGAAUAGCUAGGGUACGGUAGAGGGAAGUGGAAUUUCCGGUGUAGCGGUGAAAUGCGUAGAUAUCGGAAGGAACAUCAGUGGCGAAAGCGACUUCCUGGACCAGUACCGACGUUCAGGCACGUAAGCGUGGGGAGCAAACAGG